GCAACGAUGACUACAGCGAAGAAUGUUCCCGUGCGGCAAUUUGACCACAACCCUCCCUCUGGUCACUCUUUUCUUUCCAUUUAUUUCUUAUAAAAUUGUUUCCCCAUCUACUCAAAGAGGGGAAACUCUUCUUCAUUCCCCACUCCCUCGUCUUUGAAUUUUUGGUGAUGAGAUCUAAGAUUCUGAGCUCAAACUCGCAGAUACUAGUCAAAAUUCUUGUGUGGAAGUUGUUAUAAGGCACUUGUCUUUUUUACUCCUAAAUUCUUGGUUCAUUUGACUGCUCGAUCUCUUCAUUUUUCCUCUUCAGGAGUCGAAGCUGCAGAUCCAGAUCUAAAGAACUCACUAGUAACAGUGAAGGGCAUCUUCGAUCAACCAAAGCUUGUUGAGUAUGUGUAUAAGAGAAUAGGGAAGCACGCAAAGAUUAUGAAGCAAGAGCCAGAGAAGAAAGAGGAAGAGAAGGAGAAGAAGGACAAAGAAGAAAAGAAGGAAAGAUAAGGGAGGAGACGGUGGAGAGAAGAAGGAAGAAGGAGAAUCCAAGGCAGAAGCAGGAGCAGGGGAAGAGGAAAAGAAAGUGGAAUUGGUAAAGAAUGAGUUCCUAUACUACUAUCGUCAGUAUCCUGCCAAAUAUGCCAUGGAAUAUGUGUGCCCACCUCAGAUCUUCAUUGAAGAAAACCCCAAUGCCUGUCCGUCAUGUAACAAAAUCGUGCUAAAACUAAAAUUCGCCAUUACAAGUAAACAUAUGCUCUGCUUUUGCAGGAUUUUUUUAGUAGGUUCCUUUUCGGGAAGUUGUUGUACUUUAUUCAGAGUUGCAGAGUCGCCGAUAGUUAGUGAAGCAUUCUAGUUGAGAUGGGUUUGAUUGCCUAGCUCCUUGGAGGUUGAGGCGAAGCCAAAUUAUAUUCAUAGACCUUUCUUC